AGUGAACGCUGGCGGUAGGCCUAACACAUGCAAGUCGAACGGCAGCACAGUAAGAGCUUGCUCUUACGGGUGGCGAGUGGCGGACGGGUGAGGAAUACAUCGGAAUCUACUUUUUCGUGGGGGAUAACGUAGGGAAACUUACGCUAAACCGCAUACGACCUACGGGUGAAAGCAGGGGAUCUUCGGACCUUGCGCGAUUGAAUGAGCCGAUGUCGGAUUAGCUAGUUGGCGGGGUAAAGGCCCACCAAGGCGACGAUCCGUAGCUGGUCUGAGAGGAUGAUCAGCCACACUGGAACUGAGACACGGUCCAGACUCCUACGGGAGGCAGCAGUGGGGAAUAUUGGACAAUGGGCGCAAGCCUGAUCCAGCCAUACCGCGUGGGUGAAGAAGGCCUUCGGGUUGUAAAGCCCUUUUGUCGGGAAAGAAAAGCAGCAGGUUAAUACCCCGCUGUUCUGACGGUACCCAAAGAAUAAGCACCGGCUAACUUCGUG
rnacentral:rRNA from 1 species